GCCAAGUGAGGUGGUGUACACCUGUAGUCCCAGCUACUCAGGAGGCUGAGCCAGGAGGAUCGCUUGAGCCCAGGAGUUCUAGGCUGCAGUGAGCUAGGGGGCACCACUGCACUCCAGCCUGGGUGACAGAGCAAGAACCUGUCUCUU
rnacentral:SRP_RNA from 2 species